rnacentral:tRNA from 1 species
GGGGCGGUAAGUUAAUCGGCAAACUAUUCGUCUUGCCAGUCGAAUAAUGCGGGUUCAAAUCCCGUCCGCUCCA